CCUACGGGAGGCAGCAGUGGGGAAUAUUGCACAAUGGGCGGAAGCCUGAUGCAGCGACGCCGCGUGAGGGAUGAAGGCCUUCGGGUUGUAAACCUCUUUCAGCAGGGACGAAGCGUGAGUGACGGUACCUGCAGAAGAAGCACCGGCUAACUACGUGCCAGCAGCCGCGGUAAUACGUAGGGUGCGAGCGUUGUCCGGAAUUACUGGGCGUAAAGAGUUCGUAGGCGGUUUGUCGCGUCGUUUGUGAAAACCCGGGGCUCAACUUCGGGCUUGCAGGCGAUACGGGCAGACUUGAGUGUUUCAGGGGAGACUGGAAUUCCUGGUGUAGCGGUGAAAUGCGCAGAUAUCAGGAGGAACACCGGUGGCGAAGGCGGGUCUCUGGGAAACAACUGACGCUGAGGAACGAAAGCGUGGGUAGCAAACAGGAUUAGAUACCCUGGUAGUCCACGCCGUAAACGGUGGCGCUAGGUGUGGGUUCCUUCCAACGGGAUCUGUGCCGUAGCUAACGCAUUAGCGCCCGCGUCGGAGGACGCGCGAGACGUAAACUACAANAGAGUAGACGGUCGUGAGAGNGCGAGACGACGACGAGGGAGAGG
rnacentral:rRNA from 1 species